UACGGAAGGCAGCAGUGGGGAAUAUUGCACAAUGGGCGCAAGCCUGAUGCAGCCAUGCCGCGUGUAUGAAAGAAGGCCUUCGGGUUGUAAAGUACUUUCAGUCGUGAGGAAGGUGUUAAGGUUAAUAACCUUAGCAAUUGACGUUAGCGACAGAAGAAGCACCGGCUAACUCCGUGCCAGCAGCCGCGGUAAUACGGAGGGUGCGAGCGUUAAUCGGAAUUACUGGGCGUAAAGGGCACGCAGGCGGUUAAUUAAGUUGGAUGUGAAAUCCCCGGGCUUAACCUGGGAAUGGCAUUCAAGACUGGUUAGCUAGAGUCUUGUAGAGGGGGUAGAAUUCCAUGUGUAGCGGUGAAAUGCGUAGAGAUGUGGAGGAAAUACCGGUGGCGAAAGGCGGGCCCCCUGGACGAAAAGAACUGACGCUCAUGUGCGAAAAGCGUGGGGA
rnacentral:rRNA from 1 species